CCAAAUUGAACAUUUAAUAAUCAAAUGCAUGUUGAUCCUGUUUAUCCAGAGCGGCGACUUAGAGGACAAGAUAAGCAAAGGUUAAUUUCAAGCACCAUAAUGUAUUCACUUCUUAAGCUUCCUUCGCAUUUCGAUUUGCAAACUUCUGGUCAUGCUAUCUUCACUCUUCUACGGUUUUAUUACAUGAUUUAUACUGAUUAACAAAAUUUCAUGGCCUCAGUCAACAUUCUUAAUCGGCUCCCGAAAACACCAAAUUUUAAACAUGAUAUAUUAAAAUAGCAAAUAUUACAUCCAUAAACUGACUUAUUAAAAUUAAACACCAGUAAAUAAAGUUGCAAUAUUAUACAGAUGCAUAUAUAUAACAUGCUACAUAUAAGGCAUAUAUCCGUCAUAUGCAACGGUUUAUUGUGCAGUUAAUAGAAUACUAAGUGGGAAAUAUUUAAUAGCUCCACAUACUCAUUUUUUUUUCAUUUCUUAUUAAGCUGACGCUGGUUCUUGAAGUGAUCUCUCGGGUUGGCUUCGAAAGGUGCCCUAGGAAUAAUCAAACCAUUCCCACCAGGAGCCUUCAUCAUCUUCUCUUUCGGGCCGUUCUCAUCUGAGCCUGAGGUCAUCCACGAGAAUAGACUAACGGCCGCUCCAAUGGCUCCAACCACGCCUAUGACUUUGGUCGCGGUAUCGUAAAAUGUCGAACUCUCAUCUUUGUCAUCUUUUCUCUCGGUGCUGUUCAUAUUGAUAUGGUCUCUAUAUGAGUGUUUUGAUUUGUUGAGUUUAAAGAGGGGACUCAGGAGUGAGUUAUAUAGAGUGGCAAGCUAGUGUACCUUGCCCCUCAGGAGUAAUGAAGACUUUAAUUACAUAGUAAAGGGAGGUUUAAACAUUUCUACUAUUAUUAUUUAAAAAAUGAAUGAAUUAUUUUACAUUAUUGUACUACUAGGUUAAAGCCACUUUCUUGCUAUCGGUCAGAGGAAUCUUUAGUACAAGAAAAGCUUUUUGUUUGUCUAAUGGUUAGAAUGAAGAUGCUUUCGUACGUGCAUCAUGUUUGGAUAAAUUUUUCAAUGGAUUGCAAAUUUGAAUUAUUACUAAAGUGACAACAACUUUGAAUCAUUGAAUGCAAAUUUCAGUCGCUAAAAUUAAAACCACAAAUGGAUUUAAUAAUUUCAGUGUACCUUCCCCCUCCGGAGUAAUAAAGACUUCAGUUAAUUACAUACUAAAGUCUCUAUAUUUAUCUUUUGAUCAGAAAAAGUCUCUGUAUUUAGCUAAAGGGAGGUUUAAACAUUUCUAUUAUUAUUAUUUCAGAAUUAAUGAAUUAUUUUACAUUGUACUAUGCUAGGUUAAAGCCACUUUCUUGUCUUUAGUACAAGAAAACCUUUUGCUUAUCUAGUGGUUAGAAUAAGAUGCUUUCCUACGUGCAUCAUGUUUGGAUAAAUUUUUCAGUGGAUACUUUGAAUCAUUACUAAAGUGACAAAAACUUUAAAUCACGGAAAGCAAAUUUGAGUGGCUACAAUUAAAACAACAUAAAUGGUUUUAAUAAUUUCAGUUGCAAAAGGAACUACUGCCAACAAUUAAUUAAUACUAAAAAAUUUCGGUGGAAGUUGUGGGAAUUAAACAGUUUUUGUUUUGUUUUCGAGAACUGGCAAGGGAUUUAAACAGUUAAAGAAUAUGUUCUGUAAUUAUAUCAAUAGUGAGUAUCUUUUUUACAUUAUAUUAUACUCUCUCUAGAUUUUAAAUCUUGAUGUUUUAAGAUUUGUAUAUAUUAAUAAAAAUUAAAUAUUAUUUUAAUUUAUUAGUUUGUUUAAUUCCCAAUAAAUUUGUACCACUCAAAUUUUUAAAUUUUAAUUUAUGUUAUAAUUUUAAAAUAAAAUACAUUAACUAAAAUUAAAACUUCAAUAUUUUGCAUAGAUAAGUUAAAAAUUAAUCGCUUAUAGAUGGAGAGAUCACUAGAUUAAAGCCGCUGUUUAUCUUAUUUAGAGCCAUUUCUUACUUAAGAUUCGUAUUUUUAAUGUUAAGAAUAAAAAGCAUUCGGUGUUUAAUAGGAUUUUACUUUUUCAGUGGACAACGAUCCCACUAUAUAAAAGGGACUAUUUUUAAGCUUCCUAAAGCUAGCCACAUGCUCAAAAUAAUCAGGGCCAAUCAAAUUGCCACGUCACUGCCAGAUUAGGCUUCAAAUUAAAAUCACGAUCGGGCUUCCUGUGCGCUAACUCAUUCUCCGACUCCGUAUUUUUGUUUUGCGCCAUCAGCCGAAGUGAAGCCAAACUCAGAUAAUUAACUUUCACCCAGCCCAGCCCAUUAAUCCCAUCAAUCUGAUAAUUCACUUUAUCCCAGCCCAGCCCAUUAACCCUAAUCUACGUAUUGUUGAGACUCAAGCCAAAGCGCACACAGCUUUCUCAUCCUCUGAAUAACCUAAUCGCCGUCUCCCCCAUUUAUCUUUCUCUCAUGACGACCCAUCUCGAAGCCCAUUCCCGAGCCACUCUCUCAUAAGCAUAAUCCCGUGUUCUAAACAUCCCGUGUUAAAUUUUUUAAAACACUCAUAUCUUAGAAAUAGUUUAGAAAAUAUCUUUAUAUAAAUGUUUUUUUCUUGAAUAAUAUUUAAUUAUAAUUUUUUGUAUAUUUUUAACUUUUAUAAUUUUUUUUUUUUUUUUUUGUCGUCAACUUUACAGACUCAUAUAGACUCUGUAAACCAAGCCGGAAGAUAUUGAUCCAUGUGAACGACGAAAGACGGCUGAAUCCUAACACUGCGUGCUAGGCUAUCCGCCUUUGUAUUCUGCGCUCUUGGUACAUGGACGAUCUCUGAUUGUAGGAAACUUGCUCUCAGACUUUUGAUGUCUUCUAAAUAACUUGCAAACGCUGGCCACUCUUCUGGUUCCGAAACCAUCUUCACCAAUUGAGAACAAUCCGUUGCAAACGUAACCUGAGAUUGACGUAAAUUCCUCAUACAUUCCAUAGCCCAUAGUAGUGCUUCCAUCUCCGCAUGUAGAGGAGAAAGGCUAGCCCGAACAUUC
rnacentral:lncRNA from 1 species